rnacentral:rRNA from 1 species
AGAGUUUGAUCAUGGCUCAGAUUGAACGCUGGCGGAAUGCUUUACACAUGCAAGUCGAGCGGCAGCGCGGGGCAACCUGGCGGCGAGCGGCGAACGGGUGAGUAAUGCAUCGGAACGUGUCCAUGUCGUGGGGGAUAGCCCGGCGAAAGCCGGAUUAAUACCGCAUACGCCCGAGAGGGGAAAGUGGGGGACCGCAAGGCCUCACGCGAUUGGGUCGGCCGAUGUCCGAUUAGCUAGUUGGCGGGGUAAAAGCCCACCAAGGCGAUGAUCGGUAGCUGGUCUGAGAGGAUGAUCAGCCACACUGGGACUGAGACACGGCCCAGACUCCUACGGGAGGCAGCAGUGGGGAAUUUUGGACAAUGGGGGCAACCCUGAUCCAGCCAUUCCGCGUGAGUGAAGAAGGCCUUCGGGUUGUAAAGCUCUUUUGUCCGGAACGAAACGGGCGACGUGAACAGCGUUGUCUACUGACGGUACCGGAAGAAUAAGCACCGGCUAACUACGUGCCAGCAGCCGCGGUA